GACGAACGCUGGCGGCGUGCUUAACACGUGCAAGUCGAACGGGAUUUAGUAAACAGAAGCCUCGGUGGAAGAUUACUAAUGAGAGUGGCGAACGGGUGAGUAACGCGUGAGCAACCUGCCUAUGACAGUGGGAUAGCCUCGGGAAACCGGGAUUAAUACCGCAUAAAAUCGUAGAAACACAUGUUUUAACGGUCAAAGAUUUAUCGGUCAUAGAUGGGCUCGCGUCUGAUUAGCUAGUUGGUGAGAUAACAGCCCACCAAGGCGACGAUCAGUAGCCGGUCUGAGAGGAUGAACGGCCACAUUGGAACUGAGACACGGUCCAAACUCCUACGGGAGGCAGCAGUGGGGAAUAUUGCACAAUGGGGGAAACCCUGAUGCAGCGACGCCGCGUGAACGAAGAAGGUAUUCGUAUCGUAAAGUUCUGUCCUAUGGGAAGAUAAUGACAGUACCAUAGAAGAAAGCUCCGGCUAAAUACGUG
rnacentral:rRNA from 1 species